rnacentral:rRNA from 1 species
CGGCUGCGUGGAACCUUCUCUGGUAGUAGUCAAGCGAUGGGGUGACGCAGGAAGGUAGCCGUACCAGUCAGUGGUAAUACUGGGGUAAACCUGUAGGGAGAACGAUAGGCAAAUCCGUCGUUCACUAAUCCUGAGAGGUGAUGCAUAGCCGAGUGAGGCGAAUUCGGUGAUCCUAUGCUGCCAAGAAAAGCCUCUAGUGAGUACACACACGGC